rnacentral:lncRNA from 1 species
UGUGAGUGAGGGCGCGCAUAGAAAGGAGGGAGGGAAAUGUGAGUGAGGGCGCGCAUAGAAAGGAGGGAGAAAGGGAAAUGUGAGUUAUAGAUGCUCAGACUCCUGUCAUUGACAGCCAGCCACAUUCUACUAAAAAGUAGGGGUAGGUUUUUAUACUAUGUACAUUGCAAUUUGUUUGUGUACUAUUGUGCAUGUUUAUAUAUUUGUGUCAGUGUGUUGAUAUGUUAGUGUAUGUGUGCAAAUGUUUGUUUAGGUAUGUAUAAUCUAUGUGUCAGUGUAGGAGGUAUCUGUAAGUGCAAGUGUGUCUGUGCCUAUGUGUUUGUUUAGUAUGUGUGUAUCUGAGGAUGUGCCAGUUUGUAUCUUUAUAUGUAUUUUUGUGUGUAGGUAUAUGUAGGUGUACAAGUGCAUGUGUAGGUGUCUGUGUGUGUGUAGGUACGUGUGUGUAUGUACGCAUACAUCCCAGCAUUCAAACAUCAAAACAACAUACAAACACAUUUCUACUAUCAAAUGCCAACAUGCAAACGCACCCCUGCAAUCAAAUGCCAACACUACAUACAAACACAUUCCUACUAUAAAAUGCCAACACUACAUGCAAACGCACCCCUGCAAUCAAAUGCCUACACUACUAUUUUUUUCCCUCUGUUAAUUUCUUACUUAAAAUGAUAUUGUGUAAACAAAUGUUAUUCAGUAUGCUAUGUGACUAUAAGCACGUACAGAUAAAUUGGUUAAAGUAAUGGAAUAUCAUUGAUAAGAAUUAUGUAAAGUAUGUAUUACGAGUUGUGUGUACAUAAAACUUGAAAAAACAAAAAAAAAUUAUACACCUCAUUCAAACGCAGUAUAGAUGUACACAGAGGCGGCUCUCUAAUUAGGCGAUUUUAGGCGGCUGCCUAAGGCCUCGCGGCCGCCUAAAUCACCUUAGGACAGACUGAACUGUGAGAGGGGGCCCGGCAGCUUGCCCACUAUGCCGCUGGGUGGCCCCUCCACAUGGUCUGCCCACAGGGAGAGCCAGCCUCUGAUCUGCAGCUCCUCCGAGUGCAGAGCUGCAGAUCACAUAAGGUUCUUGCGAGCUCACAGUGUUGCCGCGGGUUACCACGGCAACGCUCUGACUGGCGCUCGCGAGAACGAGGUCUGCAGCUCUCGCCGAGUUGCAGACGGAACAGUCAUCCCACCGGACCACCAGGGAAUUAUAUUACAUAACAAGGUAUUUUAGUGUGUGGAGGCUUGUCACAGCCUCCACACACACUGUCCACAACACUGCCCACCUACAUACACUGCCCUCCCACCCUCACUGUUCACCUGUAUACACUGCCCUCCCACCCACACUGCCCACCCACUUACACUGCCCUGCCUCCCACCCUCUCUGCCCUCCUACUCUCUCUGCCCCAACACUGCCCUCCCACCCUCACUGUCCACCUACACACACUGCCCUCCCACCCACACUGCCCUACCCCCCUCAUGCUGUCACACACCCUGCCCUCACUACACUGUGUCCCACACACUGUCACACACUACCCCCACCCUGUCAUCUUCCUCCUCACUCUCACCCACUCACACCCUGCCCCCAAAACUGUCACAUUCCUCCACACUGCUCUCUCACCCUUUCACACACUUGCAACCCAUAUUGUCAGCCCCCAACACUAUGUCACCAAUACAUACAGUCACCCCUCCCACACACUGCCCCUGCACACAAUGCCUCCCACACUCUCACCUACCCACCUUCACAAUUCCACACACACACUGUGACCCCCCACAUGCUGUCCUUCCCCCUUCACCCAGCCUUGCUUACAUUAACCUCUCCUAAUCUUGUCGCUCUCACCCCCUCCAUCCAUACCACAAUUACCGGCCCUCGCUCUUCUACACUCACCCAAUCACAUUAAUCCCCCUAAUCCUAUCACACUCAUCUUCUCUCAUACUGUCACACUCACCCCCAACCCUGUCACACUCAUCCUUUUUCACAUUAACCCUUUCACUUGGGCCCAACCAUGCCACACUCACCCUGUCACAUAAUCCUGUCCGACUCACUUUCACUAGCCUUGUCACACUCCCUCCUCUAGCCGUGCAACACAUAACCCAUAACCCUGUCAAACUCAUCCCCCCUUCACCCUAUCACAUUAACUUCUCCUAUCCUGUCACUCAUCCUGCCUAGACAUGCCACACUCACCCUGUCACAUAACCCUUCCUCAUCCUGUCACUCUCACCUCCCCUCGCCCUGUCACACUUUCUCCUUCAACCGUGCCACACUCACCCCAACAGUGAAUACAGAGACAAGCUCUCUGUAUCCAGCGUUGCAAACCUGUCAUACAUUAUAACUACAGCUCAUUAUACACACGAUGCAACCCCUAUAUGUUUUUUUUUUUUUACUAUGAGUGUUAGUUGAGUGCCUCUUGUUUGAGUUUCGCCUAAGGCCUCAAAGUCUAGUGCCGCCACUGGGUGUACACCAGUGGCGGAACUAGACUAUUAACACACAAACACCUUCAUUUCACAUACACACCAUAAAUACACAUGCUUACAUUGUUGCGGAAUAUGUGUGGCUGAGCUGAUUGUUGGUCUUGGUGUGAUCCCUGUGUAAACUCCCCUAUGGUGUCUUUGUCAGAGCACUUCCUCCAGGAGCUAUGCUUGCUUGCCAUCCUGCUCUUCACCUUCAGAGAAGCUCUUGCAGCUGUUCAUUUUGGAGGCUUCUGACUAGCCCCCGGUAUCCAUCUCAGCCCUUAAUUCCAUUUUUGUCAGACCAAGCUCCCGCCCAUGAAUGUCAACAGCGCAAGGAUUGCUGGGUUGGAGUAUCAGUGUGGCGGCUCAGCUGAGACAGUGCCAGCGCAAUCUCAUGGUGACCGGCAGGAUGGGAGCGAACUGUACAGCGCUCCCCUCCUGCCGGUCUCUUAGUAGCAUAUGUAUUGAGAAUUAGUUUAUUUACUAAACCAUAUAAUUUUUACAAAGUCUGCAAGUGACCCCCUUUCGCACAUAUCCACAAGGGUUGGGGCCCUACCUGUGGCUCUCAGCGGGUUUCCCCUGUACGGUGGGAGAGUCUGAGAUCCUUGGAUAAUUUUUUGUUUGUGGAGCUAUACAGAACUCACUGAUAGCUUGAUCUUGUACCUUAAAUCACUCAAAGCUCUGUAGAGAGCACACUGAAAACUGGGUAUACCAUCUUAGGUUUUACCUGAUGCUGGAUGUCCUCAUGCUAAGCAAUCAGGUGACCAAAACUCGCCUAACCACCCUGAAGUGCCUAUAGUGGCUGUUUGCAAGACAGCCAUUAGGGGUAGAGAUAACCCUGCAGUGUAAUUAUUGCAGUUUAUCAAUAACUGUAAUAAUUGCAAUUGAACGCUUAAACGGUCAUAAAGUUUGAUUCCAACAGAGGUGUGCAAUCUGGCAAUAGCAAUCAAUCACUCCAGACAACAUAAUAUAAAGAAUGAAACAUUUUUGGUAUUUAUAUCUUCCAUUCCAAUCUUCCAGGUUUUGUUUCUACUACUGUGAAAACAAGGAACCUGUUGAAGGCUUUGUAAUUCCAGAUAUUUGCAGCCAGUGUCUCCAAAACUCAGCCUUGCAUAUUGAACAUUUACAGACAGAUGAUGUUGGUAAGUAAAAAGGCUUUUACUUGCCAAUUAAACAUAAAAUCUUUACAACCUAAAGAAUUAAACAUUUUUGGUAUUUAUAUCUUCCAGGUUUUGUUUCUACUACAGUGAAGACAAGGAAGCUGUUGAAGGCUUUGUAAUUCCUGAUAUUUGCAGCCAGUGACUCCACAACAGGGUAAGAAAAAUCAACUGAACCAAAACCCUAAUUUGGUCUUAGUUUGUGUGAAAUCUCUAUUUAUUCAUUUGUCUUUUGACGAAUGAUUAGCUGAAAAUCUCUGCUGCCAAAUUUAGGACAAUAGCGAAUGCACAAGUGUUUUACCUGGGCAUGUGCAGGAAUUUCACAGCGCUGUCUAGUGUGGGCAGAUUACGUGUCCCACAUGGCCUUCGUCUGCCCACACAAAGAUGGCAGUGCCCUGGACUUUUGGGAAUUUGGGGUUUACUAGUAGGGGGACUAUUGGAUGUAGUGGAGUUUGGAGGGGGGUUAGAAAAAAAACGUUGCGGCCAUGACAAUGUGGGGAGACUGGUCGGUGAAUUAUUUGUAUUCAUUUUAGUUUUGAUCUGGUUGAUGACACUUUGUUGAUGUUGCUGUAAGUGGAUUUACAUAUGUGUAAAUCUAAAUUUGUCAAUUAUAUAAUAUGCAAAUGCUGCACAUACAGACUACUGCAUCCAUUUCUACUUGAAGUCUUCCAGUAGCUUUGUGUAAAUGAUUUUGCAAAUAAUAUAUUUCAUUAAUAAAAUGUAUAUUACAAGUUUAUUUUCUUCUUUCAGUCAGAAAAAUGCCUAAGUGUUUGGUGAUGGGAUGCAUUAGCAACAAAACAAAUACAGAUGUACGCAUCUCAUUGCAUCGAUUUCCUAAUUCAACCGAAAAAGUUCGAGCAUGGCUCCAAGCAACUGGUGAUCAAUUUCAUAAUAUUGAAAUGGUCAUCCAGCUAAUAUUGCAGCGUUUUGAAUCUACUACUUUGAAACUAUGUUCAUUACAUUUUACCCCUGACUGUUACUCAUACAUAGGAUUAAAAUUUAGAAAACUACAUCCGGAAGCCAUCCCUACCAUAUUUAAAAAAAAAACGUUGAGGGACAGAGUUUUAAACCUUCCAAAAGAAAUUUUAAAUUUAUCUGGAAACCGUUUUUUACGUACCUAUCCCAUCCAUCAGCAAAAUACUGAGAAACGUUGUUCUCGAACAACAACUGGAGAGGAUUCUCCUAUUGUUUUAGGCCAGGACUAUUCUUCGGAAAUAGUAUACACCAUUCCUACUAUUUCAAAUUUCACUAAUCAUGGAAUGAACACUGAAAAAAUGACGUUGGACAAAGCUGUUUCUAUUUGUAAAAUUGAAACUAGAUCUAUAGGCACACAGACAAAUAGGUCAGUAAGUGUUGCUACUUCUACAAUCGGUUUAUUGAAGUCUAAUGAUGUUGGAACUUGGACUGGACCACACGAAUAUUGUGAAGAAAUUAAUAAAUCUGAAAAUGAGAAGUCAUUGGAUACAGAAGUUAUAGAGCUUGAAACUAGUCAAUUAAAUGAUAAUGAAAUAAUGGAAUUUUCAGAAUCCUCACCUUAUCAGUCUCCCAAAAAAAGAACCAUUUUUAUGACACCAAGUUCACAAAGUUCAUUUUUUGAAUCACCAAUGUUACAGUCUACUAUAAGUUCUGAUAAUGACACUGAGACCUCAGGUUUCGCGGAAAAUCAAGCUUACGAAUCUUCAGCAGAAUAUUUUGUUAUUGAAAACAAAUUUAUAAUAUUUGAAUCAUGCCUCGAUGAGCUUUUAAAAUCUUUUGCAAAAUGUAAUAAUGAAGAAUAUUGUGAUUCCAAGAUAAUUAGAAUUGAAAAAAAAAUACAAGGCACUUUAUUAAUCAUCUAUACGGAAUGUGAAGAGAAACAUACAUGCCUGUUAUGGAGGAGUCAACCAAUGAUUAACAAACGUUCAGUUGGAAAUUUAUUGGCCAGUGCUGCGUUAUUAUUUAGUGGGUCUCAUUUUCCUAACGUUUCUGAAUUUUUUAAAAUGUUAAAAGUUCCUUUUAUUUCUGAAAGCUUACACUACCGAUUUCAGAAUAAAUUUUUAUUUCCAAUCAUCGAUUUACAUCAUAAGAAAGAUAGAGAUGCAACACUGGAUAAUUUCAAAGGAACUGCAGUGUGUCUAUCAGGUGAUGCACAGUGUGACAGUCCUGGAUCUUGUGCAAAAUAUUGCACAUAUACUUUAAUCGAAGAAAAAACUCAAAAAAUUGUGGAAUGCAAUGUAAUACAAGUCAGUGAGGCAACAUCAUCUGUGACUAUGGAGUCAAAAGCUUUUAGAAGAAGUGUUGAUACAUUACUUGCCGAAGGAGUGAAAAUUGGCAUACUUGUGACUGACCGCCAUAUUGGAAUAAGAAAAAUAAUGAGAGAAAAUUAUCCAUUUAUAAUUCACCAAUUUGAUGUGUGGCAUUUCUGCAAAAGCAUGACCAACAAAUUGAAUUCAUUAACACGGCAACAAAUGUACAAGGAGCUGUCACCCUGGAAAACAUCUAUUAUUAAUCAUAUGUGGGCAUCUUGCUCAUUAUGUAAGGGUAAUGUAAGCCGCCUGAAAGAAAGAUGGGAAAAUAUAUUACAUCAUAUUAUAAAUGAGCAUUCAUGGGAAAACGAUGGAAGAGAAAUAAGCUGUGAUCAUUUACCCAUUUUAGAAACAGAAAGACCACGACGUUGGCUAAGAAAAGACACCUCUGUAUAUUCCAGAUUCAGCUCCUUUGUUACAGAUCCCAAAUUAUUAAAAGAUUUAGAUCACUUAAAUCACUUCUGCCAUACUGGUAACCUUGAGGAUUACCAUAGUAUGAUUUUAAAGUAUCGACCAAAAAGAGUCCAUUUCUCGAUGGAUGGUAUGAUAGCACGCACCAAAUUGGCUGUAUUAGCUCAUAAUGCUAAUGUUGACCGGAAACAAGCCGCAGUAUUUCGUUCACAUAAAGGGAGUGGUGAAGUAGGUUCCCUUAGAUAUAGGCCCGCAUUGUCAAAAAAACCUAAAAAUUGGCAUGCAAAGAAAAUGUAUGAACCGGUAUUUAUAGAUCAUUUGUUUCAAAUGAUGGCUGAUGUUUUGAAAUUAUCCAUGGAAGAAUUAGAAACUUCAUGGGAAUCACAAAAUAAAUUGCUUCCAGCUAAUAUUGAUUCUAUACCAAGACCCCAAAUCAAAGAAUUAGCGGCAAAACAUAUUUCUAGGUUUGAACCAAAGAUACAGGA